rnacentral:rRNA from 1 species
AUUGAACGCUGGCGGCAGGCUUAACACAUGCAAGUCGAGCGGAAACGAUGGGAGCUUGCCCCAGGCGUCGAGCGGCGGACGGGUGAGUAACGCGUGGGAAUCUGCCCAGUAGAGGGGGAUAGCCCGGGGAAACCCGGAUUAAUACCGCAUACGCCCUAAGGGGGAAAGGCCGGGAUCUUCGGACCGGUCACUAUUGGAUGAGCCUGCGUGAGAUUAGCUAGUUGGUAGGGUAAAGGCCUACCAAGGCGACGAUCUCUAGCUGGUCUGAGGGGAUGAUCAGCCACACUGGAACUGAGACACGGUCCAGACUCCUACGGGAGGCAGCAGUGGGGAAUAUUGGACAAUGGGGGCAACCCUGAUCCAGCCAUGCCGCGUGUGUGAAGAAGGCCUUCGGGUUGUAAAGCACUUUCAGUAGGGAGAAAGGGGUUGAAGUUAAUAGCUUCAAUCAUUGAUGUUACCUACAGAAGCAGCACCGGCUAACUCCGUGCCAGCAGCCGCGGUAAUACAGAGGGUGCAAGCGUUAAUCGGAAUUACUGGGCGUAAAGCGUGCGUAGUCGGUUAUUCAAGUCGGGUGUGAAAGCCCCGGGCUCAACCUGGGAAUUGCAUUCGAUACUG